UGGCGAACGGGUGAGUAACACGUGGGUGAUCUGCCCUGCACUUUGGGAUAAGCCUGGGAAACUGGGUCUAAUACCAGAUAGGACCAUGCUUUAGUGUGUGUGGUGGAAAGUUUUUCGGUGCAAGAUGAGCCCGCGGCCUAUCAGCUUGUUGGUGGGGUAAUGGCCUACCAAGGCGACGACGGGUAGCCGGCCUGAGAGGGUGUACGGCCACAUUGGGACUGAGACACGGCCCAG
rnacentral:rRNA from 1 species